AAGAAGGGCUUCUGUCGUGCAUGGCACACGCAGAGCAGCCUGACUGCUCCACGUGCAGAGUGAACACCAAGAGAUUCGGAAGCAUAAUUUUUUGGUACUUGGGCAGCUGGCAAUCAUUGGUCCUGGAACCCAC
ensembl:snRNA U11 spliceosomal RNA